GGAGUUAGCCGGUGCUUCUUCUGCGAGUAACGUCACAGAUGUAAGGUAUUAACUUACACCCUUUCCUCCUCGCUGAAAGUGCUUUACAACCCGAAGGCCUUCUUCACACACGCGGCAUGGCUGCAUCAGGGUUUCCCCCAUUGUGCAAUAUUCCCCACUGCUGCCUCCCGUAGGAGUCUGGGCCGUGUCUCAGUCCCAGUGUGGCUGAUCAUCCUCUCAGACCAGCUAGGGAUCGUCGCCUAGGUGAGCCUUUAACUCACCUACUAGCUAAUCCCACCUGGGCUUAUCCAUCAGCGCAAGGCCCGAAGGUCCCCUGCUUUCCCCCGUAGGGCGUAUGCGGUAUUAGCAGUCGUUUCCAACUGUUAUCCCCCACAAAUGGGCAAAUUCCCAGGCAUUACUCACCCGUCCGCCGCUCGUCAUCUUCAAAAGCAAGCUUUUGAAAUGUUACCGCUCGACUUGCAUGUGUUAGGCCUGCCGCCAGCGUUCAAUCUGAGCCAGAAUCAAACUCUGA
rnacentral:rRNA from 1 species